CUCAAAUUACAUUUCACUGGCAACAGGAUCUGUAUAUUUGAUGGCUUCUUUUUCCAUGCAUAUUAAUGUUUUGUUAAACUCUCUUGUGAGAUUACUUUAGGCCUUUCAGAUUCCUACUGGGUUAUUAUUUUUUCCACUCCUGAAAAGGCAUAAACAUAGCAUUGCAUGAUGCUGUCUUGCACGGACUUAUCUUACAACAAUUUUACCAGGUCUGAUAUAACCCAAUGCUCAGCAGGAAACUUUGUUGAUAUAUCAUCAUACAGGAACCGGACACUUAGAUUGCCUUAAAUGAGAAGCAACGAUAGCUGGUGAAUGCCAACACUAAGGAUAGAAGCAUCUAUGAACAAGUAAGAAAGCUUAUUUCUACAUGAAAAGUUAAAUCUAAUUAAUGCUUCUUACAUUGGUAUGACAGUGUUGCCCACAACCAAUGUGAGAUGUAACCAAAAUAAAAUGCUUGUUAUAUAUGUUCAAUAGGCCUAUUAGAUAUCCUUGGUGACCAUCUAUCUUAUGGACAUGUCUUUGCAGAGAUCUCUUCUUAUGUCUGGUAGCAUUUAUAUUCAAUGUAAAUCCAGGCCUUUCAUCAGGUAUGUCUGGUUCUCAGUUGGGCCAUACAUGGGCAUCAAAUCUGGAUUGCCAGUUGACUCGGUUUCCAUUCUUACCAUACAUACGUGGCUCAUCUUAAAAAAAGAACCAACCUGAUUUUUCUAGCCGCAGCACAUACACUGUGGCAACCACCAGAUAAAUUGGAUCUUGCAUACAUGUACGGAUGGUAGUAAUUAGAAUCCUACUCACACACUUCUUAUUGUAAUUGGUGCAUUCUUGCACAUGUAAUUGAUGCAUUCAAUUGUGAAAGGAUUUAUGACCCACACCUCCUUAUCCAACAAUCAAAACACUAAAACCAGAAAACAGAAAGAACCAAAAUUAAAGAGAAAAAUGAAAAUUAAACCAAAAUUGGACACAUGCCAUGAUGGUUUGUGAUCUGAAUUUUUGGUGAGGAAACUUGUUUGACAGUCAUGUUGAAGGUGAUACUUUUGUCCUUCUGUAUCAUAUGUAUGCAACUGAUGCUUGAUGUGGAAAUCUGGCCAUUUUGAACCUUCCCUAAUUGCAUAAGUGGCUGAACCAGCUCUGUAUGUUAUACAUAAUUUGUCAUCCACUAGUUUUUGUAAAUGAAGAUAAGAGGAUUGAUCUUAACAGUAUGGUCGUCAUGCACAUAGACAAAAAAUACUUGCAAUGAAUUUUUAUGAGUACUUGGUAAUUUUGGAGUCCUUGGUUAGGGUUUGGGCUGAAAGUACGAGUGCUAGAGCCGACGCUUUUGGAGUCCGGACUCAUUCUUUUGAAAAAUAGAAAAAUGGGAAUAUUAGUAAAUAUGGAUUUUCUUGUUAAGAAGAAAAUGGAUGGUAAAGAAGAGACAUAAUUGAAACUUUGCACUGUGAAAAGUAAUAUUAACCAUCUUACUUUCCCCGUUGAAUUUGACAUCCAGGAAAUGGACCUUUUCCAGAAAACCAUGGAUUUAAAACCAUUAAAUCCUUCUCAGAAAUCUGAGUUUAUUAAACUGAAUUGAAUUAUUACAAUUCAAUUUUGUUGAAUAUCCAAACGCAAGGUUUCCAUGAAUUAGGCAAAUGAAUUCAUUCUAACUCAUUUUGUUGAAUAUCCAAACGCAAGGAUUUUUUAUUUAUUUAUUUAUUUAUUAUUAUUAUUAUUAUUAUUAUUAUUAUUAUUAUUAUUAUUAUUAUUGUUGUGAUAUGCAAUAGCUUUUCAGAAUUCAUAUGUAGAUGCAUACUUGUGCUCAUUCACAUGGACUUUGACUAUCUUUCUUAAAUUUCUUUGGUUUUUCUAAUUUUUGUAUCUAAUUUUGAAUUUUUAGACCAUAAAACAAGAUUUGAGGUGCCGUCAACAAUGCUAACAGAAUCCUCCAGGUUAGAUUGUUGAUUGGACCUGAUUUUAUUUAAAUGAUCUUGAUAAUCCAUUUUAUUUAAAUGAGCA